GCACAUAUGUUACAAAAUAGAACAAUAAAGGCAUAGACUGAUGAAGAUCAAAAGAUCAUAAACUUUUAAAUAUAUCUUACAUAAUAUAUAACAUGUACGCUAGAUUAACAUUCAAAUAGAGUUAAUUCCCUUUUGCCAUGUUAUGUAAAGCUUGUCUUAUUCAACCCAUAUGAAAUACUUUGUUGAAAUAUGCACUAAAGGGAUCCAUUUCAAUAGGACAAAAAAAAACAUGUUUAGUGUGAACAAAAUCUGCAGUGCUCUAAACGUGUUAUGCUUAGAAAGUUUUCCCUUUAAUAACUAAGAACAAUAUAUAAACAUAGAUUAGUACCAGUAAUUACAUAGAAGAUUGCAAAAUAUUCCUUGUAACACAGCAUAAAUUGAAGAAGAUACUGACAUUUUUCUUUAUCAAUUAUGUCUGUACCAGAAUAUCUCCUUUUUUCAACAUUAAACAUAUGCAUGCAGCAUUUAUCAAAUGCUAACAAAUUUCACUUAUUGCUCAUUCCUGAAGGAAUUCAUUUCUGAAGAAAGACAUUACUGUAAACUCAGAA
rnacentral:lncRNA from 1 species